GGGGCCGACUAGCAAGAAUACCCGGAAACUGCAGAAGGGCCGACCGUGACGGUCCCAGAGGGACGGCUCUGCGGUGCGCGGUUCUGGUCCGCGCUUCCUGCUCAGUGUCCAAGUUGCCGCGCGCUGAUAGGAGUGCGCUGUAGCUCUCAGAAACCUGGGCCAGAAAAGACGUUGAGGACCUUUGCACGGUGCUAGGAGCCUUCAGGCUUAAAUACGAUGUGUUUGUAUUAUUGGGGCCCGGAGACAAUGUACAGGAAUACAUAGGUCCAACCCUAAGUCCAUAAGCAGUGACUCGCUUUAUGAAAUAGGUGGAUUCUAACAAAGGUCGUAUAGUUUUAAAGCUAGAACUGAGUUCAUUAUCUUCUCCAGUUCCCAUCCCGCCUCUUCCUUCAGUAAAUGCACCAGCAUUGAAGGUGAACGCUCAGAAGUUUCCUCUGGUAGCCCUCCGUGGUAACUUCCUGUUUGGCUGUUUGUCCUUCUGAACAUUGAGCUCCUUGAGAGCUGGGACUGUGACCUCCUUUUGUAUCAGAAGAACCUACCCAGUGCCAGAUACAUGCUGGCAUAUGUAGAAGUUCACAUGCUGCCUGGCAUUUUCUUUAAGAUACUUCCCCAAAGAAUAAAAGAACAAAAGGAUAUAAGAAGCGAACGUGACAAUAUCUUGAUAAUUGUUGAAUCUGAAUGAUGGGUGUAUGGGAGUUCAUUUUACUAUUUGCUCUACUUUGUGUAUGUUUUUAAAUGAUCAUAAAGAAAAAGACCUUAAACGCU